AGCAGUCGCCACGGUAAUACGUAGGUGGCAAGCGUUGUCCGGAAUUAUUGGGCGUAAAGCGCGCGCAGGCGGAUCAGUUAGUCUGUCUUAAAAGUUCGGGGCUUAACCCCGUGAUGGGAUGGAAACUGCUGAUCUAGAGUAUCGGAGAGGAAAGUGGAAUUCCUAGUGUAGCGGUGAAAUGCGUAGAUAUUAGGAAGAACACCAGUGGCGAAGGCGACUUUCUGGACGAAAACUGACGCUGAGGCGCGAAAGCCAGGGGAGCGAACGGGAUUAGAUACCCCUGUAGUCCCUGUCUCUUAUACC
rnacentral:rRNA from 1 species